rnacentral:lncRNA from 1 species
UUUAUUGACCAUUCUGUCCUUAGCAUUCUCCAUAUGUAGUUACGGCUCUUUUACAGUUUUACUUCUAAUUUGUCUAGUCCCCAUGAUUAACCUCGUGUGUGUGUGUGUGUGUGUGUGUGUGUGUGUGUGUGUGUGUGUGUGUGUGUGAGUGUGUGUACACGUGCAUGCGCUAACACAGAAAUUAAUGAUCCUAUGUAAGUUUUAACUAGACAAAAGCUUUAAGCAGGCAGUUCUUAGAGUCUGAUGAGAUUUUUAGACAUGUGACCAAAAUCUUGGUUAAGGAUACAUCAAACUUGGUUUCCCAUAGGAAAACUCUUACCUCCUUGACUCGAACAUAAACUUAAAGGCCUCUCUCUUCCUCCUCUGCAUUCCCUCCACACCCUGCCCUGUACUGAUUGCAAAAAUCAUCUCUCUUCACUUAAUCACUGCUGUUCUCCUCCUGUUCCUUUUCUGCCUUGGAAAUCACAGUUCUUAGCAGAAUUUUAAAUGGUGACGAGUGAUAAUGAAAGUGACCAUUGGAAGCCCGCUAGGGAUGCUAUAUCGUUUUUGUUGCAAAGAUGCUGCAGAAAUUAAGGUGCAAUGUGUGGUGGGGUCUUCUGGUUUCUAAACAUCCUAAAUUUUACUUAAAGACAUUUUUGUGCCAUGCCUAAUGUUACUUGGCUCUAAAUAUCUUUUGGAGCCUAAUCAAACUUGUGUUUCCCUUCAACAGCUAUUUCUUUUAUCUGCCAUGUUCCAGGCAGUGUGUUCAUACCUAUGAGAAGAGUGACGCUAUCAUAAUUGGCUGUAUUGUACAUUUAGCAAUUGAUCUUUUAAAUAUGUUUUUUUUUACAUUUUGUCAGUGCACUAAAUGUAUUUCACUCAUGCAAACAGAGAAAUACAACAGUACUAUUUUAGACAGUAAUUUUGUCUUCAUCAUUCCAAAGCUUUCUUGCUGUCCAGGAAUGAAAUUAGCAAUCUGUCCCAUCUCACGCCUAGAGUGCUCAAGUGGCACUGAGCUCCUAAGCAGCAGGCAUGGGUGAUAACUGUGCAUCCCCGUGAAGACAUCAUCUAAUUCUACCAUGGUUUCUGUAGCUGGAUGGCAUGGCAUGGGGGCAUUUGUAGUCUGUCUGACUUGAGCCUUAGCUCACUCAUUGUCUAGUCCCCAAUCGCUUUCCACAUAAAAGAAUUUACAAACAGCUCCCAGCGCUCUUUACUGUAGUGACUGUCACUGAUGAGUCCAGUAGAAUAGGCCUGAUUCUCUUCAGGUCAUUUGAGACACCCUAGUUCUCACAUAGGAACAUUGCAGUGCACGCCACUCAGGCAUACAUUGAAUUAUCUGUGGUAAAAGAAACUGGUGUAUCCUGAACAUUUUCCUGUGACUGUUCAUUAAUUAUUAUUUUCUAAUUGAGUUAAAGACUGAAACUUUACAUUUUAAGUUAUGUAGAACUUGAAAUCAUUUUCCAAGUUCUUUCACAUGCUCAACCUCAUUUUGUCCUGAUUUAAGUUAGUGCUAGCCCCUCUUAGAGAUACAACACUGAGGCCCUGGCGGGUGCCAUGAUUUGCCAUAAUCAUCAGAGCCUACCUAAUAAUGGAAUAGCAAGGCAUUAAUGAGCCCACUGAUGAGCAAAGCCUUCAUUCUGACAGACAAAUUUUAAGUGGCAGCCUUGAAAAUUAAAAUUGGUCAGUUUAAACGUUUUUAUAGUUAAAGGACUUGUAAGACUGCAUUCUGGGCAGAUGUGGUGGGACGUGCCAAUAACCCCAGCAUUUCUGAGUUGGAGGCAGGGGAACACAAGUUCAUGGCCAGCCUAGACUACAUGAAAUUCUAUU